GCCAAUGUGGCAUAGUGGUUUGAGUGUUGGACUAGAAUGCCAGGAGUUCAGAGUUCAAAUUCCUGCUUGGCCA